rnacentral:tRNA from 1 species
GCGGGUAUAGUUCAAUGGUAGAAUAUAGGUGUGCCACACCUAAGGCGCGAGUUCGAUUCUCGCUAUCCGCU